rnacentral:tRNA from 1 species
ACCGAAAUAGCUCAGUUGGGAGAGCGUUUGACUAUAGAUCGAAAGGUCGCUGGUUCGAUUCCGGGAUUCGGAA